rnacentral:rRNA from 1 species
GACGAACGCUGGCGGCGUGCUUAACACAUGCCAGUCGAACGGUGAAGCGCCUUCCUCCCUGGGGGGGGCGGAUGAGGGGCGAACGGGUGAGUAACACGUGGGUAACCUGCCCCCCGCUACUGGAUAACCGCUUGAAAGUGUGGCUAAUACGGGACAUCCUGGGCCUGUGGCAUGAUGGGCCCGGGGAGGGGAUUGCGUCCGAGGGGGUGGGGCUCGCGGCCUAUCAGCUUGUUGGCGGGGUGAUGGCCUACCAAGGCGGUGGCGGGUAGCCGGCCUGAGAGGGUGCGCGGUCAGACUGGGACGGGGGCACGGCCCAGACUGGUACGGGAGACGGCAGUGGGGAAUAUUGCACGAUGGGGGGAAGCCUGAUGCAGCGACGCCGCGUGAGGGAUGGAGGCCUUCGGGUUGUGAGCCUCUUUCGCCAGUGAAGCAGGCCUGCCUCGUUUGUGAGUGGGUUGACAGUAGCUGGAGAAGAAGCGCCGGCUAACUACGUG